CUUUUUUUGGCAUGAGAAUGCCGUUUUUUGGACACAUAAACACGAAACAUCCCUGAAAGCCACAAUAUUGCAUUAUCUUUUCUCACAUGGGGAUUCUACUCCAUCUUGGACUUCAACAAGUCCUCCUGCUCCUAAUACACUCCAUUUCCCCCUCCUUUGGGUCUAAAAGCAUGCUGAAGAAUGUUUUGUGUGCUCCUUCUGAACUACUGUGAAUAAAAGCAACAACAGCCUUUCACCAACAUGUCCUGAUUUGUAUUAUCCAAGUAAGGAAAAUCUUUAAAAAUUACAUCUGUGGGGCUGGGGCGGUAGCUCAGUGGUAGAGUGUUUACCUAGCACAAGUGAGGCCCUGGGUUCGAUCCUCAGCACCACAUAUAAAUGAAUAAAUAGAAUAAAGGUAUUAAAAAAUUCCUACCUUUUAAAAAAUUACAUCUGUUAUCUCUUCACUCCUGUCUAUUGUGUGCUUCAGUCACAGAACUUCUUUUCUUCCCACUAAUUACAGAGAUUAAGGAUGUUUGCACUUAGUGUAAUGAGGUAUAGGGCUUGGUAGACAUUGUAAAACUUUCAGAGACCAGUCUUAACAAACACUGGUGGCACCACUGAGCAACAGCACAUGGAGAUGUAAACUUCAAUAUGUAUACAAACUUGUUUAAAAACUGAAUAAAAACAGUGUUUUAUGCUGAGAUUUUUUUUGAGUACUGAGGAUUGAACUCAGGGGAACUUGACCACUGAUCCACAUUCCCAGCCCUAUUUUGUAUUUUAUUUAGAGACAGGGUCUCACUGAGUUGCUUAGCGCCUCACUUUUGCUGAUUUUGGCUUUGAACUUGCAAUUCUUCUGCCUCAGCCUCCCAAGCUGCUGGGAUUAUAGGUGUGUGCCACUGUGCCCAGUUUAUUGCUGGGAUUUUGAGAAGGCUAGUUUAAGAGAUUCAGACAAACUAGUGAGUUCAAACAUCCUUCACCAUCUGAUCCUGUGUUACCACCAGCAGGUUCCAGAUGGGUGGCAAAUUGAUUUUAC
rnacentral:lncRNA from 1 species